UAGGUAGUUUCUCGUUGUUGAG
rnacentral:miRNA from 2 species